GUAGAUAAUGCGUCUUCCAACCAAAGAAAGAUAUUUGGUUUUGCCCUUUCAAUAAUUUUGACUCUAAGACUGCCUCAAGUGCUUGAUAAACUGGAUCAGAUCCUCAGUGUAUGUACAAGUGUAAUUUUGGGUGGAAAUGAUGAUUUAACUGAGGAGGAGUCCAGUGGUGAUAACAUGGGCUCCAGCAUGUCUCACGGUGAGGGCAUUGUUCCUAGCAAAGAGUUCCGAAAAAGACAGAUCAAAAUUUUGGACCCUAUCAAUCAGUUAUCAUUAGAGAACUCUGUGAGAGACAACCUUCAGACAUGUGCUGCCUUUCAUGGUGAAUCUUUUAAUUCAGUCAUUGGUAGAAUGCAUCCUUCAGCAUUUGCACAACUGAAACAGGCAUUGAAGAUGCCAUAGCUGGGCACAACACUGAUUUUUCUUCUGUUUGAGUGGUGAUGUCAAGCUCAGGGCCUGUACAACUUUUUUUUUGUUUAUUCCAGGCAUUGAGAAGUUAAAGGUACAAUGAUACUUU
rnacentral:misc_RNA from 1 species